UACGUAGGGUGCAAGCGUUAAUCGGAAUUACUGGGCGUAAAGCGUGCGCAGGCGGUUAUGCGAGACAGAUGUGAAAUCCCCGGGCUUAACCUGGGAACCGCAUUUGUGACUGCAUAGCUGGAGUACGGCAGAGGGGGAUGGAAUUCCGCGUGUAGCAGUGAAAUGCGUAGAUAUGCGGAGGAACACCGAUGGCGAAGGCAGUCCCCUGGGCCUGUACUGACGCUCAUGCACGAAAGCGUGGGGAGCAAACAGG
rnacentral:rRNA from 1 species